GCACCAGUAGCGCAAUCGGUAGCGCACCGCUUUCGUAGUGCGGGGGUUGGAGGUUCGACACCUCUUUGGUGCU
rnacentral:tRNA from 1 species